UACGUAGGGUGCAAGCGUUACUCGGAAUUAUUGGGCGUAAAGCGCAUGUAGGUGGCUUUGUAAGUCUGAUGUGAAAUCCCUGGACUCAAUUCAGGAACUGCAUUGGAUACUGCAAGGCUAGAGUAUGGGAGAGGUAGGCGGAAUUCCUGGUGUAGAGGUGAAAUUCGUAGAUAUCAGGAGGAACAACAGAGGCGAAGGCGGCUUACUGGACCAUAACUGACACUGAGAUGCGACAGUGUGGGGAGCAAACAGG
rnacentral:rRNA from 1 species